AUAUUAACACACUAACAGCUUUUCGUCAGUCAAGUUAUCCACAAUUUUCAGAUUAUCAAGAUGAAAUCGUUGACUGUUGCUUUAGUGGCAUCUUUAGCGACUGUACUUCCUUACUGCCACGCCUUCUGUUACACCGCAAACGCAGUCAGAAUAUUUGAUAUAAAAACAAUGAGUCCAGUCGAAUACUGCGAAUUAGGAACAAAAAAGUGGGAGAUAGAUGAGCAAACAGUAGAUUUAGCAACAUGUGAAAAAUGCACAUGUAGUUCAACUGUUUUGAGUUGUUGUGGAAUUGGAUAUAAAGCAGGUGUGGUAAACCCACCAGAAGGGUGUGUUAAGAAAAAUCUAGAAAAAUGUUGUUACCAAUUUGUCCAGAGUGCAAAUGACGCUGUCACUUGUGGUAAUCUAAUUUGCCCCACUGAAGCCUAGAGAACCAAUAAGAUACACGCAAUUAGUUAUAUAGAACCAGUUAUAUUAACUAUAGAUCCAUCUGUAAAAAUAUUAACUUUGUAUUUCAAUAAAAUGUGAACACAGUUGUC